rnacentral:sRNA from 1 species
CAUGCCCCUUAUACGCUGGGCUACACACGUGCUACAAUGGGUAGAACAGAGAGUCGCAAAGCUGUGAAGUGGAGCUAAUCUCAGAAAACUAUUCUUAGUUCGGAUUGUACUCUGCAACUCGAGUACAUGAAGUUGGAAUCGCUAGUAAUCGCGAAUCAGCAAUGUCGCGGUGAAUACGUUCUCGGGUCUUGUACACACCGCCCGUCACACCACGAGAGUUGGUUGCACCUGAAGUAGCAGGCCUAACCGUAAGGAGGGAUGCUCCGAGGGUGUGAUUAGCGAUUGGGGUGAAGUCGUAACAAGGUAUCCGUACGGGAACGUGCGGAUGGAUCACCUCCUUUCUAAGGAGUAUAAGUCUUUCUCUAUUCUAUUGGUAAUGUUCUUACAUUACUUCUGAACAUUGGAAACUAUAUAGUAGAACAAACAGGAAAAAAAUUAACUCUAACAGAUUUCUUAGAGUUAGCUGUCAAAAAAUAGGUUAAAAUAAUUAAGGGCACACAAAGGAUGCCUAGGUAGUAAGAGCCGAUGAAGGACGUGGUAAGCUGCGAUAAGCCUAG